CAAUAGCGUAUAUUUAAGUUGUUGCAAUUAAAAAGCUCGUAGUUGGAUUUCGGUUAAGAGCGACCGGUCCGCCGUUUGGUGUGCACUGGUUGGUUUUAACUUCCUGUAGAGGACGUGCUCUGGGUUUAACGACCUGGACUCGGAGUCUACGUGGUUACUUUGAAAAAAUUAGAGUGUUCAAAGCGGGCUUACGCUUGAAUAUUUCAGCAUGGAAUAACACUAUAGGACUCCUGUCCUAUUUCGUUGGUCUCGGGACGGGAGUAAUGAUUAAGAGGAACAGUUGGGGGCAUUCGUAUUUCAUUGUCAGAGGUGAAAUUCUUGGAUUUAUGAAAGACGAACUUCUGCGAAAGCAUUUGCCAAGGAUGUUUUCAUUA
rnacentral:rRNA from 1 species